CAGGUUGACCGGGUGAUCGCGGUUGGCGCUGUCUUCGGAUGGCGUUGGCUGAGGAAAGUCCGCUCUCCAUAGGGUACGGUGCUGGCUAACAGCCAGGCGGGGCAACCCGACGGCAAGUGCAACAGAGAGGGUUAUUGCGAUGCUGCCUACGGGUGGCAGCGUGAGGGUGAAACGGUAGUGUAAGAGACUACCAGCGCGGGCAGCGAUGUGCGCGGCUGGGCAAACCCCACCGGGAGCAAGGCCAAGCAGGUGCAUUGGGGCGACCCGUCCCGCAAAAAGCACCGGGUGUGCUGCAUGAUGCCUGGAGUAAUUCAGGACCAAGAGAGAUGAUCGCCACCUCGCAAGAGGGACAGAAAGCGGCUUAUAGGCCAACCUGGACA
rnacentral:RNase_P_RNA from 1 species